AGCGUAUAUUAAAGUUGUUGCAGUUAAAAAGCUCGUAGUUGAAUUUCAGGGUUAGUAGGUUGGUCAUGCCUCUGGUACGUACUGAUCUCACUGAUUCCUCCCUCUUGACGAACUGUAAUGUCAUUAAUUUGGUGUUGCAGGAAAUCAGGACUGUUACUUUGAAAAAAUUAGAGUGUUUAAAGCAGGCUUAGGCUUGAAUACAUUAGCAUGGAAUAAUGAAAUAGGACGUUUGAACCUAUUUUGUUGGUUUCUAGGAUCGACGUAAUGAUUAAUAGGGAUAGUUGGGGGCAUUAGUAUUCAAUUGUCAGAGGUGAAAUUCUUGGAUUUAUUGAAGACUAACUACUGCGAAAGCAUUUGCCAAGGAUGUUUUCAUUAAUCAAGAGCGAAAGUUAGGGGAUCGAAGACGAUCAGAUACCGUCGUAGUCUUAACCAUAAAC
rnacentral:rRNA from 1 species